rnacentral:rRNA from 1 species
AUAUCAAUAAGCGGAGGAAAAGAAACUAACAAGGAUUCCCCUAGUAACUGCGAGUGAAGCGGGAUGAGCUCAAAUUUAAAAUCUGGCGUCUUCGGCGUCCGAGUUGUAAUUUAGAGAAGCGUUUUCCACGCCGGACCGUGUACAAGUCUCCUGGAACGGAGCGUCAUAGAGGGUGAGAAUCCCGUCUUUGACACGGACCCCCGGUGCUCUGUGAUACGCUCUCGAAGAGUCGAGUUGUUUGGGAAUGCAGCUCAAAAUGGGUGGUGAACUCCAUCUAAAGCUAAAUAUUGGCGAGAGACCGAUAGCGAACAAGUACCGUGAGGGAAAGAUGAAAAGCACUUUGGAAAGAGAGUGAAACAGUAC